rnacentral:rRNA from 1 species
UACGAAGAGUACAAGCGUCAUCCGGAUUCACUGAAUUUAAAGGGUGCGUAGGUGGACUUGUAAGUCCGUAGUGAAAUCUCCAAGCUUAACUUGGAAACUGCCGUGGAUACUAUAAGUCUUGAAUAUUGUAAAGGUAAGCGGAAUAUGUCAUGUAGCGGUGAAAUGCUUAGAUAUGACAUAGAACACCGAUAGCGAAGGCAGCUUGCUACACAAUCAUUGACACUGAGGCACGAAAGCGUGAGGAUCAAACAGG